AACUGACUGGGAGCCAAAACCUAGGGUCAGGAAAGGAUUGAAAACAAGCAUGAAUUCACAGAUUCGGGAGGUAACGGAAGUCCUGGGAACCAACCUGUCUCGUCAGGCAGCUCUGUUAACCACUCCACCCUCAGCAGAGUGACCAGAUACACGGAGACCUCGACCUGGGUGUUACAAGUGGAUUACCUCUUUGUUCUGCUACUGAAUCAUUAUAAGGAAUUCAAGAUGCAGAGGGGCUUGGAGAUCUCCUCAGGGACACACAACCAAAUCCACAAAUCCCAGAAUCUCUUAGGUGGUUCCUGCGUCCACCAACCUUGAGAUGUAAUGGGCCAGCAAUGGUCUUUUGCUCAGAGACAGAAUCUCACUACAUUGCCCAGGCUGGUCUCAAACUCUUGGCCUCAAGCCAUCCUCCCACCUUGGCCUCCCAAAGAGCUGGGAUUAUAGGCAUAAGGCACCCUGCUGGCUGAAAUGACAUGUAUAAAAUGAGACUGUAAAUAGUAAAAACUAAGAAUACCUAUGAAAACAAGAAUUGUUAUGAGUAUUCUGAGUGAGGCAAGCAUCUGUCACACACUGAGAUUCACCUGCCCAAGUGUCCUGGCUCUGUUGGUGGCACUUAGAGACAGCAAGACUUGCUUACCUUAAUAUUUUCAUUGUACGUGUCAGAGUAAGGCACAGCUUGAAAUCUAAUGUCUUGGUUGCUGAUGUUUGUGGUCAAAUGAUGAACGACUUUCUGCACCUCCUCCACAGCCUGGGAAAUCUGCUGGCGCCUCAAGUCCACCUGGGUGUGAGAGGGACCAGCAAUGGUGGUUAUUUCCUCUGUGGGCCCCAAGAUACCAGCAUAAGAGAGUGAGGAGACAAGGGUACAGCAAGGGGUGACUGAGGGAGUUCAGCUCAAAAAUCCUGCCUUCCCAAGAUGCCGGGGAGAUGAAUUUAGGUCUGACUCCAUUGAGAAGACACUUGGUGGUGCCUCAAUGUUCUUUUCUGUAACAGAUGCAUUCAUUUGAUAUUUAUCUAGGACCUACUAUGUAGCAGGUGCCAGGCUGGGUGCUGGGGACACAACAGUGAUUAAGACAACAGUGAACAAUGUAGAUACUUGCCCUCUAGCUGAAAAUAUAGG
rnacentral:lncRNA from 10 species